AUUUGCUCUAGGGUGCAUUCGGACAGCCCCUUCUGGAAGACCUGCCUUUGAAUUCAUCUGUGGCUGGAUACUUUGCUUAGGAAGAGAAGAGACCCGAUUCAUUUAUUUUACAAACAUACAUACCCUCAUCUUUCAGAAACCCUCACCUCCCCCACAAUCUGGCGAAGGUCGAAUCUGAUGAUGGAUGCUCUGGGACGCCUCGUGCAUCGGCCACAUUACGUGGCAUUGCAAGACCGAACAAUAAAGCAACCUGCCCUGGGAACCACGGCAACCCAACAGUGUCAUAGCAAUGAGGCGACGGCAGAUGACUGACUCUCACGAAAGAGACUGCUGCAGCAGUGAGCUCUCUCGAGCAGCUCAGAAGAGUGCCAACGAUUAGAGAAAGGAGGAACACUUUCCGCUGAUAUGGAUGCAUCUCCAUCCCAUGAAAAGCUGGGGGAGCCAGUGCAGUGGCAGAGGUGGAGACAGGAGAAAUUACGGGAUCGGUGCAACAGCUCUCACUGGAGAUCCAGGGGGGUCCAGAAGAUCCUGAAGUUAAGGCAAAAACCAAGGUGCAGAGAUGUCAGGAAUCUGAUUUCCAAAACAACUUUGGGGCCAGGUCUCCGAAGCAUUCAGGAGCAGAAAUCUGGCUCUGAGAGGUGGUCUGCUUUGGGGAAUCUGUGUGCAUGCCAGGGGCUGCAUGUCACCAGUCUAGCCUCAGGAAGAAAUUAAUUUUCAUCAAUACUAUCCAAAUGAUUCACCCUAACUUGUAGAAAUGCUGUGCUGGAGAAGAAAGAGCUCCCAGUCUCCUCCAUGACUCACUGUGUUCUUGGAUGUGGCCCAUCAGAAUGUAUCAGCAAAUCAUGUU
rnacentral:lncRNA from 1 species